CGAUAACGAACGAGACCUUAACCUGCUAAAUAGUUAGGCCAACGUUUGUUGGUCGUCAACUUCUUAGAGGGACUAUUGACUAUUAGUCAAUGGAAGUUUGAGGCAAUAACAGGUCUGUGAUGCCCUUAGAUGUUCUGGGCCGCACGCGCGCUACACUGAUCAAGUCAACGAGUUUACAACCUUGGCCGGAAGGUCUGGGUAAUCUUUUGAAACUUGAUCGUGCUGGGGAUAGUCCAUUGCAAUUAUUGGACUUCAACGAGGAAUUCCUAGUAAGCGUGAGUCAUCAGCUCGCGUUGAUUACGUCCCUGCCCUUCGUACACACCGCCCGUCGCUACUACCAAUUGAAUGGCU
rnacentral:rRNA from 1 species